rnacentral:rRNA from 1 species
UGCAAGUCGAGCGAUCUUCUUCGGAAGAGAGCGGCGGACGGGUGAGUAACGCGUGGGUAACCUGCCCUGUACACACGGAUAACAUACCGAAAGGUAUGCUAAUACGGGAUAACAUAAGAAAUUCGCAUGUUUUUCUUAUCAAAGCUCCGGCGGUACAGGAUGGACCCGCGUCUGAUUAGCUAGUUGGUGAGGUAACGGCUCACCAAGGCGACGAUCAGUAGCCGACCUGAGAGGGUGAUCGGCCACAUUGGAACUGAGACACGGUCCAAACUCC